AAUAAACUAUAGUUUUAAAAUAUUUGGUUUCCUGGGUUGAACAUUAUUUACAAAACACCAAAUUUGAGGAAAUUGUGUUAUGUUGAUGCUUUAUUUUAGGUAAAAUUACAGAAUAUUUAGUGUUUUUAUAUUUUAUUGGAGUUGGUCUUAGAGAGAAAAAAUGUUAAGUUUAAAGAAGACACUGACCACAUUAUCAACAAGCCUCUGUUAAUCAAUGCUAAUUUAAAUAUUUAAUAAUUAAUAGGAUCUAAGUGAAAAAAAAAACAGCUAAAACAUGAUUAUCCAUUGGGGUAUACCGUAUAUGUGGUGUAUAUGUGGUGUCUUCUUAGCACAAUCAUUCUCUUACAGCUCUUUUUGUUUUCUCACUUCAUCU
rnacentral:lncRNA from 1 species